rnacentral:rRNA from 1 species
GACGAACGCGGGCGGCGUGCUAAUACAUGCAAGUAGAACGCUGAAGCUUGGUGCUUGCACCGAGCGGUUGAGUUGCGAACGGGUGAGUAACGCGUAGGUAACCUGCCUGGUAGCGGGGGAUAACUAUUGGAAACGAUAGCUAAUACCGCAUAAGAGUAGAUGUUGCAUGACAUUUGCUUAAAAGGUGCAAUUGCAUCACUACCAGAUGGACCUGCGUUGUAUUAGCUAGUUGGUGAGGUAACGGCUCACCAAGGCGACGAUACAUAGCCGACCUGAGAGGGUGAUCGGCCACACUGGGACUGAGACACGGCCCAGACUCCUACGGGAGGCAGCAGUAGGGAAUCUUCGGCAAUGGACGGAAGUCUGACCGAGCAACGCCGCGUGAGUGAAGAAGGUUUUCGGAUCGUAAAGCUCUGUUGUAAGAGAAGAACGAGUGUGAGAGUGGAAAGUUCACACUGUGACG